GAUGAACGCUGACGGCGUGCCUAAUACAUGCAAGUCGAGCGAACGGACGAGAAGCUUGCUUCUCUGAUGUUAGCGGCGGACGGGUGAGUAACACGUGGAUAACCUACCUAUAAGACUGGGAUAACUUCGGGAAACCGGAGCUAAUACCGGAUAAUAUUUUGAACCGCAUGGUUCAAAAGUGAAAGACGGUCUUGCUGUCACUUAUAGAUGGAUCCGCGCUGCAUUAGCUAGUUGGUAAGGUAACGGCUUACCAAGGCAACGAUGCAUGGCCGACCUGAGAGGGUGAUCGCCCACCCGGGAACUGAGACACGGUCCAGACUCCUACGGGAGGCAGCAGUAGGGAAUCUUCCGCAAUGGGCGAAAGCCUGACGGAGCAACGCCGCGUGAGUGAUGAAGGUCUUCGGAGCGUAAAACUCUGUUAUUAGGGAAGAACAUAUGUGCAAGUAACUGAGCACAUCUUGACGGUACCUAAUCAGAAAGCCACGGCUAACUACGUG
rnacentral:rRNA from 1 species